CACAGGGACUAUACCGACACUUUUCUCUUCGGAUAAUUGAAAACCCCUUUAUCGCCUCUUCAAACACAAAUCACCAACUCUGGAUUUACUUUCACCGCCGAUAAAUAAUCUCCACCACCAAUAUCUUCCACUGUGAUUCUCAUCAGAAAACAGAGGCGAUGGUCAUUAAAGAAGCUUACGCAGAGAUGAUUUUGAAUGCAACGAAAUACAGCGGAAGAGGCAGCUGCUCGAGCAAUGACGUUGGAGCGUAAAGUUGUUCGAGUUCAACACGACUGUGAAUUUGUGAGAUGAUAGAUGUCAAGGGGGGCAAAAUUGCUAUAAUUUGGGUGCUUUUUGUUUACGAAGCAGCGGAACUGUGUUCUCUCGCCGACAUUGAUCUCUGGUGACUAUAUUUUUCUGUGGGAAGUACAUGACUGAACCAACAUUAGCCGGUGUCAAUGAGAAUGACAAUGUGGCCCUAGAGUACAAGGAUAACAAUGUCAAGAAAGCAAAGGUCAAUUCAACACUAUCUGCACUCCUUGAUGAUCCUGUGCUUGCCAGAUGUACCAAAGAAGCCAACUCUAUCAGAUGUUGACACCCUCAUCAGCUUGGAACUCGGCAGUGCUAUGCAUGUUUCUGUACUUAAAAUCUUAAAUUACACAAUACAUCUUUUGGUAUAUCAAAUAUGAUUAUGCUUGAUUAGCUUCUUAUUUUCACCUUAUAACAUGUAUUUAAUGAUCGCUUGAUGAAUUCUGCAACAGUCAAGGAUUUGAAACUAGCUGUUGAGAAAAAGAGUCAAUGAGAUGGAUCAGUAAAAAAUGGGUCAUUGCCAUAUUUCUUGGUGUUUCUCUUUUUUUUUUUUCAUAUGUGCUUGAAUUAUUCUUGAUUAAGCUUUUAGACAUUUCAAAUGUUGAUAUGGGCAGGCCGGGCAUUCGGUCAAAACUGGUCACCUUUAUGUGUGUGUAAUAACAUAACAUAACUAGUUGUGUUGGACCGACCAGCCAACGCUUUGUGAUCCCUUUCUUAAAAGUUUUUAAAUAUCUAAUUAUUAAAUGUGAUUACAAACAACUUAAGACGUGGUAUACGUUUAGUUUCAUUUUUAGGAAUUUUUAAAUCUAAUUUGUUUGACCCGUUAUCACUUAAAUCCGGCCGGAAUUGACCAGAUUUCGUAUAUAAAUUUCCACCUUUAUGUAUACUAGUUAUGAUAGAUUGAUAGGUUUAGUCAUGACUAGGUAUCAUGAAUGAUGCUGCAGUUCUUCAAGAUCAUGGUUUACGAAAUCGCUCUGAGGUGAAUUUUAUCCCAUAUGUAAUGUCGAGAACCUCAAAGCAACAUUCACGAUGGAGAAAACAUCGCAAGGGAAUGAAUUGCUCAUCGUUGGCUAGGUCUAUGUGUAUGUUCUGUUUUGCAAUUGAAAGUCAACCGAUUACUGUAGUAUUUAUAUACACAGGUAGUUAAAAAAACCUUUGGCUUUUUUACAUUCAAAUACUUUCAAAAUCCUUUUACAGGAAAAUACAUAAAAUAUUUAUUUUUUAA